rnacentral:rRNA from 1 species
AGAGUUGAUCCUGGCUAGGACGAACGCUGGCGGCGUGCUUAACACAUGCAAGUCGAACGGGGAUAGGUUGGAAAGGCUUCGGCCCGGAAGACUUAAUUCGAGUGGCGGACGGGUGAGUAACGCGUGAGCAACCUGUCCCAGACAGGGGGAUAACACUUGGAAACAGGUGCUAAUACCGCAUAAGACCACGGGGGUCACAUGGCUCUGGGGGUAAAAGGAGCAAUCCGGUUUGGGGUGGGCUCGCGUCCGAUUAGAUAGUUGGUGAGGUAACGGCCCACCAAGUCGACGAUCGGUAGCCGACCUGAGAGGGUGAUCGGCCACAUUGGAACUGAGAGACGGUCCAAACUCCUACGGGAGGCAGCAGUGGGGAAUAUUGGGCAAUGGGCGAAAGCCUGACCCAGCAACGCCGCGUGAGUGAAGAAGGCUUUCGGGUUGUAAAGCUCUGUUAUAGGGGACGAAGGAAGUGACGGUACCCUAUAAGGAAGCCCCGGCUAACUACGUGCCAGCAGCUGC